ACAAUGGUGAGGAGUCCUCAUCAAAAUCAAAAAAUCUAAUUUCUUACAGGACCAGAUGCUAUACAGUGGGAAAACCAGCCUGGCAACAUAAGCUCACAAGCUAUCAGAAAGUUGUAUGGCAACCACCUCCGGCGCCAAAUAGAACUGGCAGACAUAGACAUUCAGUACAAGAAGAAAAAGAUGGAAAAUCUUGCACUGGAGUUCGAAAUAAAAAAGAGGACAAUUAGGAAACUGGACCUUGAAAUAAAAAAACUUGAGAGGGAGCUCCAAGAAGAUGACACAGCUCAAAAUAAAAUAGGUAUAUCUCGU
rnacentral:lncRNA from 1 species